CCUACGGGAGGCAGCAGUGAGGAAUAUUGGUCAAUGGUCGGGAGACUGAACCAGCCAAGCCGCGUGAGGGAGGAAGGUACAGAGUAUCGUAAACCUCUUUUGUCAGGGGACAAAGGCUGGGACGCGUCCCCGGAUGAGUGUAACUUAAGAAAAAGCAUCGGCUAACUCCGUGCCAGCAGCCGCGGUAAUACGGAGGAUGCGAGCGUUAUCCGGAUUUAUUGGGUUUAAAGGGUGCGGAGGCGGUCCUUUAAGUUAGCGGUGAAAUCCCGGGGCCCAACUCCGGCCCCGCCGUUGAUACUGGCAGUCUCGAGUUGGAGAGAGGUAUGCGGAAUGCGCGGUGUAGCGGUGAAAUGCAUAGAGAUCGCGCAGAACUCCGAUUGCGAAGGCAGCAUGCCGGCUCCACACUGACGCUGAGGCACGAAAGCGUGGGUAUCGAACAGGAUUAGAUACCCCAGUAGUC
rnacentral:rRNA from 1 species